rnacentral:rRNA from 1 species
AUUGAACGCUGGCGGCAGGCCUAGCACAUGCAAGUCGAACGAGUGGCGGACGGGUGAGUAAUGUCUGGGAAACUGCCUGAUGGAGGGGGAUAACUACUGGAAACGGUAGCUAAUACCGCAUACCAUCAGAUGUGCCCAGAUGGGAUUAGCUUGUUGGUGGGGUAACGGCUCACCAAGGCGACGCUCCCUAGCUGGUCUGAGAGGAUGACCAGCACCACUGGAACGGAGCCACGGUCCAGACUCCGACGGAGGGCAGCAGUGGGGAAUAUUGGACAAUGGGGGCAAGCCUGAUGAGGCCAGGCGGCGUGUAUGAGGAAGGCUUUCGGGUGGAAAAGUACUUUCAGCGGGGAGGCGUUACCCGCAGAAGAAGCACCGGCUAACUCCGUGCCAGCAGCCGCGGUAAUAC